rnacentral:tRNA from 10 species
GGCGAGAUAGCUCAGUUGGCUAGAGCAUGCGGUUCAUACCCGCAGUGUCGGGGGUUCAAAUCCCUUUCUCGCUA